rnacentral:rRNA from 1 species
UGCGCAGGCGGGAAAUUAAGUCAGUGGUGAAAGCCCCGAGCUCAACUUGGGAACUGCCAUUGAAACUGAUUUUCUUGAAUUUAGUUGAGGUAGGCGGAAUACAACAUGUAGCGGUGAAAUGCAUAGAUAUGUUGUAGAACACCGAUUGCGAAGGCAGCUUACUAAACUAACAUUGACGCUGAGGCACGAAAGCGUGGGGAGCGAACAGGAUUAGAUACCCUGGUAGUCC